GAUGAACGCUGGCGGCGUGCCUAAUACAUGCAAGUCGAGCGGACAGACGAGGAGCUUGUGCCUUUGACGUGAGCGGCGGACGGGUGAGUAACGCGUGUAUAACCCACUUAUAUUACGGGGAUAACUACGGAAAACCGGAUCUAAUAGCGUAGAAUAUACUGAACCGCAGGGUGCAUUGGUAAAUGACGGUUUUGGUGGCUGUAAUAGAGGGAUCCGCGCCGCAUUGGCUGGUUGGUAAGGUAACGGCCUACCAAGGCAACGAUGCGUAGCCGAACUGAGAGGGUGAUCGGCCACACUGGAACUGAGACACGGUCCAGACUCCUACGGGAGGCAGCAGUCGGGAAUCUUCCGCAAUGGGCGAAAGCCUGACGCAGUGACGCCGCGUGUGUGAUGAAGGCCUUCGGGCCGUAAAGCCCUUUUAUUAGGUAAGAACAGAUGUGGAAGUAAACAUAGCCGUAUUGACGGUACCUAAUCAAAAAGCACCGGCUAACUACGUG
rnacentral:rRNA from 1 species